rnacentral:lncRNA from 1 species
UGGAACUACAACUCACACACAUAGGGGAAAGGGAGAGGGGUUCACAUAAGAGUACUAAUAACAGGAUUGCUGAGAGAUAGUGCAUAAAACACAACAAAAACUUAGAAAGUAGACAUGUAGUGGAGGAGCAUUAUUAAAUUAAGAAAAACAUACCAGUUGCAAGAUUAUAAAAUAGUAGAACAACAGAGUAAGGAAGCAACAAAAAAUCAACAAGAGCAGACUUAAGGUUGCAUGCAAAACACUUGAGAGUUCAGUGAGGACUCAAGAAUAUCUCAGAAGGCAAAAGGGAGAAGAGGAGGGUAGAAAGCAGAGAUACUAUAAAUUGAGAAAGCAGUUUUAGUGUUCUAACAUGUGAAGGCCUGUUUAAUGCAGAAAAAGUGUGUCAAACGUGUAAAAGGGUAGCCACUUUAAUAGUGCAGAAAACAGGUAAGAAGAAGGUAAGAAAAUAAUUCUUCCUUCAAUUAGAAAAGGGGCUAAUGGAAACUCAGGAGCUUCACUCAGAACUAUUAAGUCACAGGAUGUUCCCCUUUGGUUAAGGGAUUGAUUUCAAACGAGCAUGAUAAAUAAGGAAAGGACUUUAAUUUAAAAAAUUUCCAAAGCAAUGUUUCAUGGGCAAAUACAUAGAGCAUUAUUUAAGGAAAUAACUUAGUAGCAUACUGUUUGGACAAAAAUAAGUAAAGACAAUCAGUCACAGCCUGUAAAAAUCAAGGUUUGAGUUUUGGUACAAAUGAAUCUAACCAAGAAAGGUGAAGGGGAACUUAGUUUAAAUAAAAAUCAUCAACACUCAAUCACAGCACUUUAAAAGGGACUCGGAAUCAAUCACAGGCUCUCCAAAUGCCUUUUGAAAGAGGAGAAUUUCACAUAAAAACAUGCAGAUACAAGAGAGAGUUGUUGUAAAACUAGCAAGAAAUUAGAGUAACCAAGAAGGUUUGGUUUACAUACUCGGAAUGAGUCUGAAAGAGAGUCAGGGUUAUGAAUGGAACCCUAGUCCAAACACAAGGUCAAGCUUGUCAAAAACACCCAAAUACUAGGGUUUCGACUCGAAUUAGAUAAAUAGACGAGAAAACAACAAAUAGAAUAGGCUUAGUAGUCUCUUUCUUAAACAACAACAAGUUUGAAACAUAGGGAAUACAUUCAGGAAAAGCUUGUCACUCAAACAAGUUUAGAAGUGAAAAAGUGCUACAUGCUUAGAAAAACAGUAGAUGGAACAUGCUUAGGAAGAACUUGGUAAAAAUCUGAUAAAUCAAGCAAACAUAAAGACUAGAAUAUACAUACAAUAAAAAUCACAUAGCAGAGAUAAUCAUGCGAGCUUAGGCGAAAGGCACAGGAAAUAUGCAAAGCAUAGACGGAUCAUGCUUAACAGAAAGGAAAAAGCGAAAGAUCAAAUACAUGCGUAGCAGAGAAGAAACAUACGAGAUAAACACAUAUGAAACACACAUAAAGAAAAGAGAAGAAAGAAUCAGAAUGUUUUCCAGAAACCCUAGUUUGAAAAUCAAAUGAUUUUAAAAGAAAAAUUGGGGAAACCCUUGAAAUAUCAAAUAUUGCACAGAUAUAGCAUAGAUCUAAGAGAAAACAAACAGAAAAACCUCGAAUAGCUUUAGGUUUCUCUGAAACUCUAGGAAUGUGAAGGCUUGAAAAGGGUCUAGUCUUAAGCAUAUCUGAGCCAUAGCUAGGCUUUUAAAGAUCAAACACGUCGGAACACGGUCGGAGAGGCCAUAGAACUACAGAUCUAUGGAGGAUAUGCUCGAACACCAUCGAGGUCGGACCUCGAAAUCUCGAACAACCAAGGCUUGGGGGAAGGAAGGGGAGCAAAGGUCGUCCAUGGCCUGAGAAGCCAUGGACUCCAGUGAGAUUGAUUGGAGAAGACGAGGGAGGCGAUUAGAGUUUCGAGUGCUAGGGAGCGUUUGAGAGAAGGAGAGAGUUUGGG